GGAGACGAUUGAGAGGAACUUUGCAAGAGAGACUUUGUAGUGUGAGAGUAGGAGAGAUACACUUGUAAGCACCUUGGUUAUAGUGAUUGGCUACCACUCGUGGAUGUAGGAAAAUUUCUCCUUUUCAAACCACAUAAACCUUUGAGUCACUUUGUUUAAUUUCUGUUAUGGGUGUGUGAGUGCGAUCGAUCUUGUUUCUGCUUUCGCUACAACAAUUGGGUAUCAAAAACAUAUUUGGUUAUGACAUUUUGUGUUGAGAUAUGAUUCAAAGUAUUCAAAACUGAGAUAUGGUUUAAAGUAUUGAGAUAUGGUUCAAAGUAUUCAAAGUACCAAGAUUUUAGGAGAUUGUCAGUACAUUUGAAUUUAUCUAGGAUUUCCAUACUUUUGAAUUUAUCUAGGAUUUCCAUACUUUACUAUUUCUAGUUAGUGUAUAAGCCUAUAAAUAUUGAAAUUGUGUAACUCUUAAAGUAAUUGAGUGAGAAAACAAUAAUAAAACCAUCUUUUAUCUAUUUUAUCUUUUUCUAUCUCUUUCACUAUCCCUUUCCCAACAUUUUGCACAACAAGCAGAGAGCAUUUUCUGUUGUAGCUUUUUAGACCCAACAUGUGGUAUCAGAGCAUUUUGGUUGUAGCUUUGGAUACAACAAGUAGUAUCAUAGCAUUGUUUGUUGUAGCAUUCCACUACAACAAUUGGGUAUCAAAGCAUUUUUGGUUGUAGCAUUCUGCUGCAACAAUUGGAUAUCAGAGCUUACAUGCAAUUCGUUAGUUUUGCUCGAUGUCUCGUAUUGAAGCUAUGCAGAAUCCGGAGGUCAUUUCGUAUCUGACGCAGCGGGAAGCCGCCGAGGUUGAUGGAUUCUCAUGGGUCCUCUCGGGUUCAGCUUCGACCAAUUGAUGGUAUACAAAUUAUGAAAGUCGUAAAGCACAUAAUCUAGCUGAAAAUCCACGUGAUUCGCUUCUUUUCUUCUGGGAAGGUUUCCAUAGGCAGAUGAAGCAACUUUCACCAAGCCCAUCGUUAGCAGAUAUUGUCUUCUUUGGACUUUCCUUUUCGGGCUUCCCCUUAAGAAGUUUGAUUCCAUAACCAAAAUCCUGGGGAGGAUACAGGCUUAAACCAGAGCAUUUUGAGUUUAGGCAGGGGCAGCCAUCUGGGCUGCAUGACAGGUUGCAAUAUUCCCCUUGCGAGACGGACGGAAAAAAAAGUAUGGAAAGUAGAACGAUUAGCUCCCUGAUUGGCUCCUCCAUUCACGUCAAAGCGGAUAAUAUCUACUAGCGGUGGGCUUGAGCUGUUACACAAAUGCAUACGGACUAGGCAGAGGUGCAUAACUCCACCCUAAACAACCUUUUAUUUCUUGCAUAUUGAUGGCUUACUCCUUGCAUUACGCUCAGGACUAUUUUGUCCACCUCGAGGUCAACUUCGGGAGACCUCGUAGAUUUUUAAUGAUUCUUUCUACAUAAGGGUUAGAGACAAGGUGUGAACUCUAGCCUUGGAAGGAUUUGUAUUUAUUUAGUCUCUGAACUUUUAUUGUCUAUUAGACAACUUUAAAAGUUAAAAAGACUACGAAGACACAAACUUCACCACCCCGGAACCAUUUUUUAUCUCUUUUUCCUUACAGGAUGAAUGUAAUGAGUGCAAUAAAAGUUGGAUGGGGACACAUUUGCUUAGCAAGAUAAUGCCAUUGAUGAAUGUAAGGCUUUAGUCCAUUUUGCUUUUUGAAAGUGUUUGGAAUAUUAGAGAAUGGUCGUAGCUCAUUGAUAGGAUUUCAUUGAAUAGGGAAAGCCUUGGGCAUCAAA